rnacentral:rRNA from 1 species
AAUGAAUUUAAUUCAUACGUUUUGUUUAGAUUUUUACUGUUGUUUAUUAGUUUUUAUUGGACGUUAAGAUUAGGGGGGAUUAGCUCCUUAUUUUAUUUUUAUAAUUUUUGUGUAUAUUUAGUUUUGUGGGUUUUAUAGUGACUUUCAAUUUGAUUAUGUUAAAAUUUUAUUUGUUUUUUUUGUUAUUUUGGUUUGUUUAAUUGUUUAUUGGAAUGUUUUCUUUACUUUUUAUUGGAUUGUAAUUAUUGUGGAAUUAGUAAAUUUGUUUGUUGUAUUAUUUGUAUUUGUGUUUAAUUUCUUUUGAGGAAUUAGGCAAAUUUUUGUGUCCGCCUGUUUAACAAAAACAUCUUUUCUUGUUAGUUUUUGAAGUAUGGCCUGCCCGCUGACGUUGAGUUGAAGGGCCGCGGUAUUUUGACCGUGCAAAGGUAGCAUAAUCAUUAGUUCUUUAAUUGUGAUCUGGAAUGAAUGGCUUGACGAGGCAUGAGCUGUCUUAUUGUUAGGAUAUUUUAUUGAAUUUGGUCUUUGAGUUAAAACUCUUAGAUGUUUUUAUGGGACGAGAAGACCCUAUAGAGUUUGACAUUUGGCUUAUUUAUUUAUUGUUGUUUGUUUAUUUUAUUGUAAGUGGGCUUUUUGUUUUGUUGGGGUGAUGAGAGGAAUUAUUUAACUCCUCUUGGUUUUGGUUAUAUUGAUUUAUAGUUGUCUGAUCCAUUUAUUUUGAUUAUAAGAUUAAU